UCGAGACAAGGAGGAAGGAAUUCAGCCUUUGGUGUACCGCAGAGCCCCAGUCAGCCAAGCUAGGUCAGCUGGGAGGCAGCUGUGGUGGGGAGAGCCUGGAGCCUUGGGCAGAAGGGAGGAGACAGGGACCCCACCUGAUCCAGGCUCUCUUCCCACAGCCAGGCCCAGAGAGCUCAGUGUCCCUCCUGCAGGGAGCCCACCCCUCUCCAUUUUGCUGGCCUCUCUGUGAGAUUUCCCAGGGCACCCACAACUUCUCAGAGGAGCUCAAGAUCGGGGAGGGUGGCUUUGGGUGCGUGUACCGGGCGGUGAUGAGGAACACGGUGUAUGCUGUGAAGAGGCUGAAGGAGGACGCUGACC
rnacentral:sRNA from 1 species